rnacentral:lncRNA from 1 species
AAAGCAGAGCUCAGAGCAAGUGCUACAUGUCCAGCUACAGAAGGCUUGAUUGAUUUUAUUGCUCCUCAAGGAACAGGUCGGAAAACCAGGAUCUUCUGCACGAUGGUGAGAAGGACAAACCCUGCAGAGAGCUGUAUGGAUGACUAAAGUUAUUGGGUAUGUCAACCUAUGUGGAGAAAUGGGAGGCAGAUUUAAAAGGUUAAGUAUUGCCUCUCAGGGCAUUGAUGAAGACCCCAGCUUAGUUCUUUGAAUCAUCUGUUUAUAAAGUGAAGUGCUUUCAAAUCCCAGAGCGAAGGACUGCAUCUGAAUAAUGACUUUGUGUUUGCAGUCGAGGUAUUUUCAUCUCAACCACAUCUUUCAGCUCAUCACUUCUUACCUCCCAGGCCCAGGUCAUCAGCAUCACUCAUCCAGACAUCUGCAAUCACCUGAGCUAUCUUUUCCUCUAGAGAGUCUCAUCCUCAACCAGCAUCCAGAGCCAAUCACUCACAGCAUUUCAAUACCUUUGAACAGCACACUGCAAUGAAGUCCAUGCUCCCUUCUUUGGGUUUGAGGCAGCCCACCUCGACUCCCGGU